AGAACGAACGCUGGCGGCAUGCCUAACACAUGCAAGUCGAACGAGACCUUCGGGUCUAGUGGCGCACGGGUGCGUAACGCGUGGGAAUCUGCCCUUGGGUUCGGAAUAACAGCGAGAAAUUGCUGCUAAUACCGGAUGAUGACGUAAGUCCAAAGAUUUAUCGCCCAAGGAUGAGCCCGCGUAGGAUUAGCUUGUUGGUGAGGUAAGAGCUCACCAAGCGACGAUCCUUAGCUGGUCUGAGAGGAUGAUCAGCCACACUGGGACUGAGACACGGCCCAGACUCCACGGGAGGCAGCGAGUGGGGAAUAGUGGACAAGUGGGACGAAAGCCUGAUCCGAGCAAGUGCCGGCGUGAGUGAGUGAAGGGUCCUUAAGGGGUUAGUAAAGUCGUUACCGUUUUACCCGGGAUUACGGUAAUUAAGUGUAACGUAAGGUAACCCGGG
rnacentral:rRNA from 1 species